AGCGACCUGGAAAGUUUGAAGAAGCCUGAGAACCUUAAGAAGGCUGAUAAGGAAGCUGAUGAUGAUGAUGAUGAUGAUGAGGAAUAAAAGGGAUCCUGUUCAAUCCAUAAAGGAAUCAUCCAUCAGUGUGGAUGAACUUGAA